rnacentral:rRNA from 1 species
GACGAACCGUGCGAACGUUAUUCGGAAUCACUGGGCUUAAAGCGCGUGUAGGCGGGAUGGCACGUCUGUCGCUGAAAUCCCCCGGCUCAACCGGGGAACGGGCGCGGAUACGACCAUCCUGGAGGGGCGUAGGGGGACCUGGAACUUCCGGUGGAGCGGUGAAAUGCGUUGAGAUCGGAAGGAACGCCCGUGGCGAAAGCGAGGUCCUGGACGCUUACUGACGCUGAGACGCGAAAGCCAGGGGAGCGAACGGG